rnacentral:tRNA from 1 species
GGUCGAGGGCCCAGUCGACGUCGUCGGGGCGCUUUACACCCGAUAGGUCGCAGGUUCGAUUCCUGCCGCGCCCACCA